UUUAGCAUGGAAUAAUGAAAUAGGACUUUGGUUCUAUUUUGUUGGUUUCUAGGACUAAAGUAGUGAUGAAUAGGGACAGUUGGGGGCAUUAGUAUUCGAGAGUCAGAGGUGAAAUUCUUGGAUUUCUUGAAGGCUAACAACUGCGAAAGCAUUUGCCAAGGAUGUCCUCAUUGAUCAAGAACGAAAGUUAGGGGAUCAAAGACGAUUAGAUACCGUCGUAGUCUUAACCAUAAACGAUGCCGACUAGGGAUCGGUGGACGUUAUUUCAUGACUCCAUCGGCACCUUAUGAGAAAUCAAAGUUUUUGGGUCCCGGGGGGAGUAUGGUCGCAAGGCUGAAACUUAAAGGAAUUGACGGAAGGGCACCACCAGGAGUGGAGCCUGCGGCUUAAUUUGACUCAACACGGGGAAACUCACCAGGUCCAGACAUAGUAAGGAUUGACAGAUUGAGAGCUCUUUCUUGAUUCUAUGGGUGGUGGUGCAUGGCCGUUCUUAGUUGGUGGAGUGAUUUGUCUGGUUAAUUCCGAUAACGAACGAGACCUUAACCUGCUAACUAGCUACAUGAACCUCGUGUUCGUGCCUAGCUUCUCAGAGGGACUAUCUGGGUUUACCAGGUGGAAGUUUGAGGCAAUAACAGGUCUGUGAUGCCCUUAGAUGUUCUGGGCCGCACGGGCGCUACACUGAUGAAAUCAACGAGUAUAUAACCUUGGCCGGAAGGUCUGGGUAAUCUUUUGAAACUUCAUCGUGCUGGGGAUAGAGCAUUGCAAUA
rnacentral:rRNA from 1 species